GGGUUGUGAGGUUAAGCGACUAAGCGUACACGGUGGAUGCCCUGGCAGUCAGAGGCGAUGAAGGACGUGCUAAUCUGCGAAAAGCGUCGGUAAGGUGAUAUGAACCGUUAUAACCGGCGAUGUCCGAAUGGGGAAACCCAGUGUGAUUCGUCACACUAUCGUUAACUGAAUACAUAGGUUAACGAGGCGAACCGGGGGAACUGAAACAUCUAAGUACCCCGAGGAAAAGAAAUCAACCGAGAUUCCCCCAGUAGCGGCGAGCGAACGGGGAGCAGCCCAGAGUCUGAAUCAGCUUGUGUGUUAGUGGAACGGUCUGGAAAGUCCGACGGUACAGGGUGAUAGUCCCGUACACCAAAAUGCACAGGUUGUGAACUCGAAGAGUAGGGCGGGACACGUGGUAUCCUGUCUGAAUAUGGGGGGACCAUCCUCCAAGGCUAAAUACUCCUGACUGACCGAUAGUGAACCAGUACCGUGAGGGAAAGGCGAAAAGAACCCCGGCGAGGGGAGUGAAAAAGAACCUGAAACCGUGUACGUACAAGCAGUGGGAGCACCUUCGGGUGUGACUGCGUACCUUUUGUAUAAUGGGUCAGCGACUUAUAUUCUGUAGCAAGGUUAACCGUAUAGGGGAGCCGCAGGGAAACCGAGUCUUAACUGGGCGUUAAGUUGCAGGGUAUAGACCCGAAACCCGGUGAUCUAGCCAUGGGCAGGUUGAAGGUUGGGUAACACUAACUGGAGGACCGAACCGACUAAUGUUGAAAAAUUAGCGGAUGACUUGUGGCUGGGGGUGAAAGGCCAAUCAAACCGGGAGAUAGCUGGUUCUCCCCGAAAGCUAUUUAGGUAGCGCCUCGUGAACUCAUCUUCGGGGGUAGAGCACUGUUUCGGCUAGGGGGUCAUCCCGACUUACCAACCCGAUGCAAACUACGAAUACCGAAGAAUGUUAUCACGGGAGACACACGGCGGGUGCUAACGUCCGUCGUGAAGAGGGAAACAACCCAGACCGCCAGCUAAGGUCCCAAAGUCAUGGUUAAGUGGGAAACGAUGUGGGAAGGCACAGACAGCCAGGAUGUUGGCUUAGAAGCAGCCAUCAUUUAAAGAAAGCGUAAUAGCUCACUGGUCGAGUCGGCCUGCGCGGAAGAUGUAACGGGGCUAAACCAUGCACCGAAGCUGCGGCAGCGACACUAUGUGUUGUUGGGUAGGGGAGCGUUCUGUAAGCCUGCGAAGGUGUGCUGUGAGGCAUGCUGGAGGUAUCAGAAGUGCGAAUGCUGACAUAAGUAACGAUAAAGCGGGUGAAAAGCCCGCUCGCCGGAAGACCAAGGGUUCCUGUCCAACGUUAAUCGGGGCAGGGUGAGUCGACCCCUAAGGCGAGGCCGAAAGGCGUAGUCGAUGGGAAACAGGUUAAUAUUCCUGUACUUGGUGUUACUGCGAAGGGGGGACGGAGAAGGCUAUGUUAGCCGGGCGACGGUUGUCCCGGUUUAAGCAUGUAGGCUGAUUGUCCAGGCAAAUCCGGAUAAUCAAGGCUGAGGUGUGAUGACGAGGCACUACGGUGCUGAAGUAACAAAUGCCCUGCUUCCAGGAAAAGCCUCUAAGCAUCAGGUAACAUCAAAUCGUACCCCAAACCGACACAGGUGGUCAGGUAGAGAAUACCAAGGCGCUUGAGAGAACUCGGGUGAAGGAACUAGGCAAAAUGGUGCCGUAACUUCGGGAGAAGGCACGCUGGUGUGUAGGUGAAGUCCCUGCGGAUGGAGCUGAGACCAGUCGAAGAUACCAGCUGGCUGCAACUGUUUAUUAAAAACACAGCACUGUGCAAACACGAAAGUGGACGUAUACGGUGUGACGCCUGCCCGGUGCCGGAAGGUUAAUUGAUGGGGUUAUCCGUAAGGAGAAGCUCUUGAUCGAAGCCCCGGUAAACGGCGGCCGUAACUAUAACGGUCCUAAGGUAGCGAAAUUCCUUGUCGGGUAAGUUCCGACCUGCACGAAUGGCGUAAUGAUGGCCAGGCUGUCUCCACCCGAGACUCAGUGAAAUUGAACUCGCUGUGAAGAUGCAGUGUACCCGCGGCAAGACGGAAAGACCCCGUGAACCUUUACUAUAGCUUGACACUGAACAUUGAGCCUUGAUGUGUAGGAUAGGUGGGAGGCUUUGAAGCGUGGACGCCAGUCUGCGUGGAGCCAACCUUGAAAUACCACCCUUUAAUGUUUGAUGUUCUAACGUUGGCCCCUGACCGGGGUUGCGGACAGUGUCUGGUGGGUAGUUUGACUGGGGCGGUCUCCUCCCAAAGCGUAACGGAGGAGCACGAAGGUUAGCUAAUCCUGGUCGGACAUCAGGAGGUUAGUGCAAUGGCAUAAGCUAGCUUGACUGCGAGCGUGACGGCGCGAGCAGGUGCGAAAGCAGGUCAUAGUGAUCCGGUGGUUCUGAAUGGAAGGGCCAUCGCUCAACGGAUAAAAGGUACUCCGGGGAUAACAGGCUGAUACCGCCCAAGAGUUCAUAUCGACGGCGGUGUUUGGCACCUCGAUGUCGGCUCAUCACAUCCUGGGGCUGAAGUAGGUCCCAAGGGUAUGGCUGUUCGCCAUUUAAAGUGGUACGCGAGCUGGGUUUAGAACGUCGUGAGACAGUUCGGUCCCUAUCUGCCGUGGGCGCUGGAGAAUUGAGGGGGGCUGCUCCUAGUACGAGAGGACCGGAGUGGACGCAUCACUGGUGUUCGGGUUGUCAUGCCAAUGGCACUGCCCGGUAGCUAAAUGCGGAAGAGAUAAGUGCUGAAAGCAUCUAAGCACGAAACUUGCCCCGAGAUGAGUUCUCCCUGAGACU
rnacentral:rRNA from 1 species